rnacentral:lncRNA from 1 species
AUUGAAUUAAUAAAACGAGUUUAUAGGAAAAUUUGAAAAGAAAUCAAAAUUAAACUGAAAUUAAUAAAAACCUCAAAGUGGAAUUCGAAUACAACAGAUCAACUCUUUGAGAAUUAGCUCUCCAAGGUAUUCAUAUGCCUUAUUCUCUAUUUCAUGAAUUCUGAAUUCCCCCAAUCCUAAAACUACUAAGUUGUUUAAAUAGAGCAAGGGAAUUUGGGCCUAAUGGCAACCGACCCGAAAAAAUACAAAAUCGGCCCAAAAACUAAG